rnacentral:rRNA from 1 species
AGCGGUGAAAUGCGUAGAGAUCUGGAGGAAUACCGGUGGCGAAGGCGGCCCCCUGGACGAAGACUGACGCUCAGGUGCGAAAGCGUGGGGAGCAAACAGGAUUAGAUACCCUGGUAGUCCACGCCGUAAACGAUGUCGACUUGGAGGUUGUGCCCUUGAGGCGUGGCUUCCGGAGCUAACGCGUUAAGUCGACCGCCUGGGGAGUACGGCCGCAAGGUUAAAACUCAAAUGAAUUGACGGGGGCCCGCACAAGCGGUGGAGCAUGUGGUUUAAUUCGAUGCAACGCGAAGAACCUUACC